GACGAACGCUGGCGGCGUGCUUAACACAUGCCAGUCGAACGGAGAGGCCCUGCUUUUGUGGGGUGCUCGAGUGGCGAACGGGUGAGUAACACGUGAGUAACCUGCCCUUGACUUUGGGAUAACUUCAGGAAACUGGGGCUAAUACCGGAUAGGAGCUCCUGCUGCAUGGUGGGGGUUGGAAAGUUUCGGCGGUUGGGGAUGGACUCGCGGCUUAUCAGCUUGUUGGUGGGGUAGUGGCUUACCAAGGCUUUGACGGGUAGCCGGCCUGAGAGGGUGACCGGCCACAUUGGGACUGAGAUACGGCCCAGACUCCUACGGGAGGCAGCAGUGGGGAAUAUUGCACAAUGGGCGGAAGCCUGAUGCAGCAACGCCGCGUGCGGGAUGACGGCCUUCGGGUUGUAAACCGCUUUCGCCUGCGACGAAGCGUGAGUGACGGUAAUGGGUAAAGAAGCACCGGCUAACUACGUG
rnacentral:rRNA from 1 species